ACCCACUAAGUAAGUGUUCUCCUCUAUUUAAGUCCUAUCCGUAUACUUUAAAUUCCGUACUCUAACCAUAAGGUUAGAUUGGUAGUUAUCUCUUUAAAUUCAUUUGUAAUUUAUUUAGUAGCAUAAUUUUGUUUACACACUAAAAGAUAUAAAAACAACAAAAAUAUUUACUGCAUUACUCAUGGCAUCACAAGCCCCAUGUGGAUACCCUAUGGUAUUUUCCGAAGGAACAUCCACUGUGGUGGCAUAAAAUAAAAAUGACAAAAAAUAUAGCAUUUAAAUUCCUGUAUCAUAAAUCGAAAAUUGAAAAAAAUAAGAGAAAAUUGAAAUCCUGUUUAAAUUAGACAACAUGAAAGCUAGCUCUUAAAGGUGAUCAAUUACUCUUUGGCUGACCGCUGACCGAGUAACAAAUUCGACCCUCGAGUUUUGGUUUUCUUUUCGGAGUAAUUAUGCGGAAUCAACAUUAUGACAAGGAGAGAGUCUAUUAGUAGCACCCACCAAGAGCAUUGUCGGUUAGCUCACUCUGAAGAUCAUCAACACUAACUAUUGUAAACAUUGGGAGGAGCAUCCCCUAGUUAUCAGGUAACUUGUAACAUCCAAAAAUUUUGUCCUUUGAAAUAGAUGAAUAUUAUUUGAUUAAAUAAACUUUGUGAGCAUUAAAAUAUAGGAAAAAUAAAUAAAUUUUGGGAAAUUAAAAUUUAUUAUGAAAUUAGAAACACGUUGAUGCAUUCAUGCUGCAGCACUUAUCUUUGUGAUGUGUGAAUUUUUGCAAAACAAAGAUUUGUUCAAAAUUCAAAUUGUAAAUGCUUUUGAAAAUAAGUUUAAAAAAAUAAUAAAAAGGAAAUCCAUCUCUCCCCCUCCCCCCUCACUCUCGGCAUGCAAGGCCUAGCCCGCCAGCACCCCCUUCCCCCUCCACUCUCUCUCUAGCGACUGACAUGUGGGGCCUGCUUGUCAUCCCUGUCCUCCCGCAACCGCCCGCACGUAGCGCCUGGGAGUAGCAACCGCACCCCGCGCCCAACUCCCACUCAUUCUCCCCACGAUCCCCCGCGCCUUGGCCUUAUUUGUAGAGCACCCGAGCCCGAUCCACCUCCCCCCCCCGCUCACAUUUCGCUCUCUCCCCGCGCCCUCUCUCGCUUGAAGUGCCUAGAAACUGCCAUUAGAGUCAUCGCGAACCACUGUGCUCCUCGCC
rnacentral:lncRNA from 1 species